rnacentral:rRNA from 1 species
GAAAAAGCUUGCUUUUUCGCUGACGACCGGCGCACGGGUGCGUAACGCGUAUGCAACCUACCUCUUACUGGGGAAUAGCCCGGAGAAAUUCGGAUUAAUGCCCCAUAGUAUUUUUGAAUCGCAUGAUUUAAAAAUUAAAGGUUACGGUAAGAGAUGGGCAUGCGUCCCAUUAGCUAGAUGGUAAGGUAACGGCUUACCAUGGCAACAAUGGGUAGGGGGCCUGAAAGGGUGAUCCCCCACACUGGUACUGAAACACGGACCAAACUCCUACGGGAGGCAGCAGUGAGGAAUAUUGGACAAUGGACGCAAGUCUGAUCCAGCCAUGCCGCGUGCAGGAAGACUGCCCUAUGGGUUGUAAACUGCUUUUAUUUGGGAAUAAACCCCUUUACGUGUAGAGGGCCAAAGGUACCAAAUGAAUAAGCACCGGCUAACUCCGUGCCAGCAGCCGCGGUAAUACGGAGGGUGCAAGCGUUAUCCGGAAUCAUUGGGUUUAAAGGGUCCGCAGGCGGACGUAUAAGUCAGUGGUGAAAGCCUACAGCUUAACUGUAGAACUGCCAUUGAUACUGUAUGUCUUGAAUUCAGUCGAAGUGGGCGGAAUGUGUCAUGUAACGGUGAAAUGCAUAGAUAUGACACAGAACACCGAUAGCGAAGGCAGCUCACUAGGCCUGAAUUGACGCUCAGGGACGAUAGCGUGGGGAGCGAACAGGAUUAGAUACCCUGGUAGUCCACGCCGUAAACGAUCAUUACUCGAUAUUGGCUAAACAUUGUCAGUGUCUAAGCGAAAGUGAUAAGUAAUGCACCCGGGGGGAGUACGAUCGCCAGGUUGAAACUCAAAGGAAUUGACGGGGGGCCCGCACAAGCGGUGGAGCAUGUGGUUUAAUU